ACCUCACUUUUCCAUUUACCUCUGGGCCAGUUAUGUGAUGAAGUUUUAACCUCUCACAGCAUCUCGUCCUGCAUGUGGCUGGAGUAUGUUUAUUACAAAACUCAGAGUCAAGAUAAUCAUUAGCAAAAUUCUCAUGUGCCUUGGAGAUGGAUUCUGUAGAACUGGAAGAAGAAUCGUGUGUUGGUUCAUUGCAUUUCCUGGAUGUUUUUCGAUCUGAAGUCUUCCAGCGCUAUGGAACGGGGAAAGCAAACAGUAAUUCACAAUGAAUGGACAGAGUACAGGGAGCUUGGUCAUCAUAAAGGGGAGGAGAGAGCAAGCUGCCAUCUUGAAACUGAUGCAGCAUUGAGGAAAGGCAGGAUGAGACAAAAUGGAUAAUCUCUUGGAAUCCCAGAGGGACUGAAGUGUUAACUGAAAAGAUGCACCAUCCAAAAUUAACAAGAAUUGUAGAAGAAAUGUUGCAAUAAUACAACACUGUGCUGUUUCAUAUGCUGGAAACUACAGUAUCAUAAUCAAAGGUAAAUGAUAGAAAUAAAUAUAAAAGGCCUAUGCAUGUAUUAUCAUGUACUUGAUAUUAAGUUACUGGUUCAUAUUAUACUGCCACUUCUAAUGUGUUACUGGACAUUUCUAAAUAAACUUUUGCAACAGUAAAUCUACAUAAAUGCAAGCAUUAUUUAGAAGAUUUGUAUACAUUGCAGUGAAACUCAAGUUGCUUUAGAUUUCUCAUAUUCUAGUUAACAUUCAAAGCAAGUAAAUAUAUUUAAAAACAUUUAUAUAUAAAAUGGUGAACUUGUAGAGAAAUAGAACUUGAGAAUUAUAGAAACAACAUGCUAAUUAGCAUUAUCAUAAUAUGUUGUAAAAUUAUCACAAUACAUGACCCAAUACAUAACCAUUCUUAAGCAUAGAUACAUGGGUAUGUAAACUUACCAGCUGUGUGUUUCAUAAAAAGAAUGUGGUCUGUCACUCAGAGUAUACAGACCCACCUCCAGUAAUGAUGGCAAGCUGUUUCCGAUGUCCAGCAGACAAACGUAGAGACAUACUGAUUAUCAUAACAAGGGAAGCAUUUUAUGCCUCCACUUCAUUUU